UCAAUCUCAUGACUUUGUGAGCCUCCCGCCUCAGCCUCCCAAAGUGCUGGGGUUACGUGCUUCUAAAUUGCAUGAUGAUGUAUCCUACUUUGUGAGACCGUAUUGCACUGAUGCUUGAUUGACUCUUUCAAUCUGGAAGCCAGUGUCCUUCAAAUCAUUAGCCAACCUUUGGAGCUCCUGAAAUGAUUCCAUAAUUUUAUAUCUUUUGUCUCCUAUUUUCUGGACAAUUUAUUCGAUUACGUCUUUCAACCUUUCUACUGAUGUUUUUAUUCUGACUAUAAAAUAAUUUCUAAUAAUUCUCAUUUGUUCUACGAAUGUUCUUUACAAACCGUUCACUGUUUUGUUUCACAGAUACACAAUCCUCUCUUACAUGUCUGGGGAUCUCAACUGUUGCUGCUGCUGUUUUAAAAUGCGCCUCUGUUUCCUGCAUGUCUUCGUUGGUUCCGGGUGUUUGUCUUCUGUGUGGUCUGAGUUUGCUUUCCUGCUAGAGGCAGUGCUCCCAUAUCAGGGGACCCUUGGCCAUUGAUUCAAAAGUCAGACUGAGGCACCGACAGCUGCCUGGAAGUUCUGGGGUCACUCAACUGCCGCAAGGAGCAAGGCAGGUUCUAUGACCAUCUCCUGAGGGACUGCAUCAGCUGUGCCUCCAUCUGUGGACAGCACCCUAAGCAAUGUGCAUACUUCUGUGAGAACAAGCUCAGGAGCCCAGUGAACCUCCCACCAGAGCUCAGGAGACAGCGGAGUGGGGAAGUUGAAAACAAUUCAGACGACUCGGGAAGGUACCAAGGAUCGGAGCACAGAGGCUCAGAAGCAAGUCCUGGAAGCCUCGUUCUUAGGAAUUCCUAAAUGGAAUCUGAUGGAUUCACAACCAGAUUCUACCAGAUGCACAGAGAAGAGCUGGUACCAGUUCUACUGAAACUAAUUCUAAAAUAGCAAGGAGGGACUCCUGCUUAACUCAUUCUGCAAGGCCAGCUUCACCCUGAUACGAAAACCUGGCAAAGACACAACAGGAAAAGAAAACUACAGGCCAAUAUCCCUGAGGAACAUAGAUGCAAGAUGGAUGAAAGGUUUAAGUGUAAGACCCUAAACUAUAAAAAUCCUCGAGAAAUCCUGGAAAAUGCUGUUCUGGACAUCUGCCCUGGGAAAGAAUUUAUGAAAGCAACUGCAACAAAAACAAAAAUUGCCAGAUGAGACCUAAUUAAACUAAAGAGCUUCU